CACGAAGUUUAUAUCGUUGCCAAUAUAGUUCCGGAUGUACGGCCCGGAUGUCUCUACCGCAGCGCCAAAGCUGCGACUAUUGGAAGUUCGCUCACGCAG
rnacentral:ncRNA from 2 species